AUUGAACGCUGGCGGCAGGCUUAACACAUGCAAGUCGAGCGGGGGAAGGUAGCUUGCUACCGGACCUAGCGGCGGACGGGUGAGUAAUGCUUAGGAAUCUGCCUAUUAGUGGGGGACAACAUCUCGAAAGGGAUGCUAAUACCGCAUACGUCCUACGGGAGAAAGCAGGGGAUCUUCGGACCUUGCGCUAAUAGAUGAGCCUAAGUCGGAUUAGCUAGUUGGUGGGGUAAAGGCCUACCAAGGCGACGAUCUGUAGCGGGUCCGAGAGGAUGAUCCGCCACACUGGGACUGAGACACGGCCCAGACUCCUACGGGAGGCAGCAGUGGGGAAUAUUGGACAAUGGGGGGAACCCUGAUCCAGCCAUGCCGCGUGUGUGAAGAAGGCCUUAUGGUUGUAAGGCACUUUAAGCGAGGAGGAGGCUACUCUAGUUAAUACCUAGGGAUAGUGGACGUUACUCGCAGAAUAAGCACCGGCUAACUCUGUGCCAGCCGCCGCCGCAG
rnacentral:rRNA from 1 species